rnacentral:snRNA from 1 species
ACGGACCAAGGAGUCUGACA